rnacentral:lncRNA from 1 species
UCCAGCACCUGCCGCAGCCUUCGGCUUAGAAGAGAACUCUGACAAGAGUCGCUCAUACAUCUCCUGCUGCAGCUCCUGUGCCCUCAUGAAUAUGUCUCCCCUCCGCCUCCCGAGGGCGGUGAAGUUCCUGUUGCCUUGCAUCAACAGGUGAUAUCGUUCUGACGCUUUCACCACCCCCGCGGAUAUGAUGGGUUCCCCGGCCGUGUCAACCUCGGGGGGCAUCGGCGUCGCUCCCUCUUCCUCGUCGUCCUCCUCCUCAUCCUUCUCCCCCUUCUCCUCCAGCUCGUCGAGAAGAGCGUGAACAGUGGCUUCUCAGGUUCAAAACUUCUCGCAAAAAUCUUCGGGAGACGCGGCCGUCCCCCGACGCGGGCUAGGGGCGCAACCGUAACCGGAGGCGGCGGGGGCCGCGGCGUGGGCGCUGGCGGAGGCGGCGUCCAUCGUCGUGUGUCACCCGCUUGGGCUGGCAUGACUCCUGUCAAAACUUUCUACGUCUCCGAUCCGAUGACGCCUCUGACGAUCGCCUAUGGUAACGCUCGCGGGCCAGGGCCUAGGAGUGAAAUUGCCCAUACGGCGUCCAAAAAUCGCUGAAGUAUUUUUUAAUAUAUAUACGCCUUGAAAAUACGAAAAUCCGGUCGCCAAUAAUAAUGUACUAAUGUACUACUGUACGAGAGACAUGGAAGAAAUAAAUAAACCUCGGUGUCU